GAAUGUCAAAUUUCUAGUAUGAGAAAUUAGUGAUUUAAGUCCUUCUUAAAUGAGGCCAUUUACCCAUAGAGGGUGCCAGGCCCGUAUAACAUUAAUGAUUAUUAGAUGGCAUUUCCAAAGAGUCGUGUUGCUUGAUAGUGCAGCACUAAGUGGGUGGUAAACUCCAUCUAAAACUAAAUAUAACCAUGAGACCGAUAGUAAACAAGUACCGUGAGGGAAAGUUGAAAAGAACUCUGAAUAGAGAGUUAAAUAGUACGUGAAACUGCUUAGAGGUUAAGCCCGAUGAACCUGAAUAUCCGUUAUAGAAAAUUCAUCAUUAUGACUUUAAUAUUUAAAAAUAUUAUAAUAAUAGUGUGCAUUUUUUCUAUAAAGGACAUUGUAAUCUAUUGACAUUAAUAAAAUCUAUCAAAAGAUCAAUUGCGAAGGUUUAUUCGAUUUAUUUUGCUUGCAAUUUAACAUAGGGUAAACGCUUUUGAUUUGAUAGAGUGUCGAUAGAUUUAUUAUAUAUGGUGCUUGAAUAUUUAAUAUUCUAUAAUAGCAUAUUAAUUAUUAAUUUUUAUGUUUAUUAUAUGCACUUGUAUGAUUAACAAUGCGAAAGAUUCAGGAUACCUUCGGGACCCGUCUUGAAACACGGACCAAGGAGUCUAACAUAUUUGCAAGUUAUUGGGAAUAAAAACCUAAUAGCGAAAUUAACAUAACUUUAUUUGGGAUUAGUUUUUAGCCUAUUUAUAGUCUAUUAAUUCAAUCCCGGGGCGUUCUAUCGUUAUGUAUAAUAAUAUUUAUAUUAUUUAUACCUCUAACUAGAGCGUACCUUGAGCAUAUAUGCUGUGACCCGAAAGAUGGUGAACUAUACUUGAUCAGGUUGAAGUCAGGGGAAACCCUGAUGGAAGACCGAAACAGUUCUGACGUGCAAAUCGAUUGUCAGAAUUGAGUAUAGGGGCGAAAGACCAAUCGAACCAUCUAGUAGCUGGUUCCCUCCGAAGUUUCCCUCAGGAUAGCUGGUGCAUUUAAAAUUUAUGUAAAAUAAUCUUAUCUGGUAAAGCGAAUGAUUAGAGGCCUUAGGGUCGAAACGAUCUUAACCUAUUCUCAAACUUUAAAUGGGUAAGAACCUCACCUUUCUUGGUAUGAAGGUAGUGGUUGUGAUAUAAUGUGCCCAGUGGGCCACUUUUGGUAAGCAGAACUGGCGCUGUGGGAUGAACCAAACGUAAUGUUACGGUGCCCAAAUUAACAACUCAUGCAGAUACCAUGAAA
rnacentral:rRNA from 1 species